rnacentral:rRNA from 1 species
GAUGAACGCUGGCGGCGUGCCUAAUACAUGCAAGUCGAGCGAACGGACGAGAAGCUUGCUUCUCUGAUGUUAGCGGCGGACGGGUGAGUAACACGUGGAUAACCUACCUAUAAGACUGGGAUAACUUCGGGAAACCGUAGCUAAUACCGGAUAAUAUUUUGAACCGCAUGGUUCAAAAGUGAAAGACGGUCUUGCUGUCACUUAUAGAUGGAUCCGCGCUGCAUUAGCUAGUUGGUAAGGUAACGGCUUACCAAGGCAACGAUGCAUAGCCGACCUGAGAGGGUGAUCGGCCACACUGGAACUGAGACACGGUCCAGACUCCUACGGGAGGCAGCAGUAGGGAAUCUUCCGCAAUGGGCGAAGGCCUGACGGGGCAACGCCGCGUGAGUGAUGAAGGUCUUCGGAUCGUAAAACUCUGUUAUUAGGGAAGAACAUAUGUGUAAGUAACUGUGCACAUCUUGACGGUACCUAAUCAGAAAGCCACGGCUAACUACGUG